rnacentral:misc_RNA from 1 species
GAUGAAGAACGCAGUGAAAUGCGAUAAGUAGUGUGAAUUGCAGAAUUCCGUGAAUCAUCGAAUCUUUGAACGCACAUUGCGCCCCCUGGCAUUCCUAGGGGCAUGCCUGUUCGAGCGUCAUUAACAACCAUCAAGCGGGACCUGUCUGCCUCGCUUGGCCAUGGGGGAUGGCCGCCCUCGGGGCGCCCACCCCCGAAAUACAACGGCGGACAGCCACCACGGGGCACCCGGGCGUAGUAAGUUGCUCUCUCGCCCGCGCCCACGGAAUGGACUGUCCGGCCGGUCGAACCCCCAACAUCCAAUGGUUGACCUCGGAUCAGGUAGGGAUACCCGCUGAACUUAAGCAUAUCAAUAAGCGGAGGA